CGGAUAUGGCGGAAUUGGCAGACGCGCCAGAUUUAGGUUCUGGUGGGAGACCGUGCAGGUUCAAGUCCUGUUUUCCGAA
rnacentral:tRNA from 1 species